rnacentral:rRNA from 1 species
UACGAAGGGGGCUAGCGUUGCUCGGAAUCACUGGGCGUAAAGAGCUCGUAGGCGGUUUGUCGCGUCUGCUGUGAAAUCUCCGGGCUUAACUCGGAACGGUCAACUGAUACUGUCGGACUAGAGUGCAGAAGGGGCAACUGGAAUUCUCGGUGUAGCGGUGAAAUGCGUAGAUAUCGAGAGGAACACCUGCGGCGAAGGCGGGUUGCUGGGCUGACACUGACGCUGAGGCGCGAAAGCCAGGGGAGCGAACGGG